rnacentral:lncRNA from 1 species
UGCAGGGCAGAGGAGAGCCAUCACCAAGCCCAGCAGACUACCAUAGACAAGCACACAGAAAUGAGCAGACAAGGACUAUGGAAACCAGGGUUGAAAUAAGAGGGCUGAUACUAAAGGUUGUGGAAUGAAGAGUCAGACAGGAUUUGCACGGCUCCCUGAAUGUUGGGGCAGAACAUGUCAUCCAUGGAAAUUGACUUAUUUUGUUCUACAAGAGAAGAACCUGCUCUCAGUGAAGACACUAGAGUUAAUCAUUGCAGGAUAAUGGCUACCUUUGACCAAAAACACAGCCCCAGGACUCCUGGCUUCACUCUCGCCAAGUGUUGAUCAAGUCCGAAUCUUCAGGAUCUUAUGACAUAUUCUAUCUCUGUAACUCCCUUGGAAGAAAGUAUCCUAUAAUUUCAUCUAUCUCGUAGUUGCUGCAGAUGGUGAUUCAUAUGGCCAAGGAGACCAUGCUGGGAGAAUUGACCCUUUGUAAGCAUUUUGCCCUGACACAGAGAAUAGGAAAAUAGAGGGGUACAAGUGAGCAGACAAACUAUGGGGGAUUGGGUUGUCUCCACAGCUUGACCCCUGUGUCUUUGUGUUCACAUCUGGUCUGUUUUAUUAAAGGUAUCUUGCUGUUGACAUCUCUGAGCAAUUAUAGAGCUGAGCAAAAAGAUAUGACUCCAAUAACUUGACCUGCCUUUAAAUUAAUGUUAUAAAAACUUACCUUGAAUUUAACAGAAUAUGGAAAAUACUAAUUGUCUAAUAAUAAAAAUGGUCAUCACAGGCCA